AACAUGUCUCUUUGUAAAAUGUAAAUAAAGAGUUGGGCCUGCUCGGUGAAUAAGUUUUAACAGCUGCGGUAUUUUAACUGUACUAAGGUAGCAUAAUAAUUUGCCUUAUAAUUUGAGGCUAGAAUGAAUGGUUUGACGAAGGUUAAGCUGUCUCCACUUUAUUUUUUAGAAUUUAAUUUUUAUAGUGAAAAAGCUUAAAUUUUUUAAAGGGACGAGAAGACCCUAAUGAGCUUAUAAUUUUAUUAUUGUGAUUUAAUAUAUUUAAAUGAUAAUAUAUAAAUUUUAAUUGGGGUGAUUAAGGAAUAAUUUAUAAGUAGUAACUUCCUUAGAUUAAAUAUAUAUUGAUUAAGUAACCAAUAAAUAUAUUGCUUAUAAUAUAGUUACCAUAGGGAUAACAGCGUAAUUUGUUUAGAGAGUUCUUAUUGAAAAACAAGAUUGCGACCUCGAUGUUGGAUUAAAGUAACCUUAAGGUGCAGAAGCUUUAUUAGGUAAAUCUGUUCGAUUUUUAAUACUUUACGU
rnacentral:rRNA from 1 species